rnacentral:rRNA from 1 species
UGGGGAAUUUUGGACAAUGGGCGAAAGCCUGAUCCAGCAAUGCCGCGUGCAGGAUGAAGGCCUUCGGGUUGUAAACUGCUUUUGUACGGAACGAAAAAGCUUCUCCUAAUACGAGAGGCCCAUGACGGUACCGUAAGAAUAAGCACCGGCUAACUACGUGCCAGCAGCCGCGGUAAUACGUAGGGUGCGAGCGUUAAUCGGAAUUACUGGGCGUAAAGCGUGCGCAGGCGGUUAUGCAAGACAGAGGUGAAAUCCCCGGGCUCAACCUGGGAACUGCAUUUGUGACUGUAUAGCUAGAGUACGGCAGAGGGGGAUGGAAUUCCGCGUGUAGCAGUGAAAUGCGUAGAUGUGCGGAGGAACACCGAUGGCGAAGGCAAUCCCCUGGGCCUGUACUGACGCUCAUGCACGAAAGCGUGGGGAGCAAACA